CCUACGGGUGGCAGCAGUGGGGGAUAUUGCACAAUGGGGGAAACCCUGAUGCAGCAACGCCGCGUGAGUGAAGAAGUAUUUCGGUAUGUAAAGCUCUAUCAGCAGGGAAGAGAAUGACGGUACCUGACUAAUAAGCACCGGCUAACUACGUGCCAGCAGCCGCGGUAAUACGUAGGGGGCGAGCGUUACCCGGAUUUACUGGGUGUAAAGGGAGCGUAGACGGGAGGUCAAGUCUGAAGUGAAAUCCCGGGGCUUAACCCUAGAACGGCGUUGGAAACUGUGCAGCUAGAGUGGUGGAGAGGUAGGCGGAAUUCUUGGUGUAGCGGUGAAAUGCGUAGAUAUUAGGAGGAACACCAGUGGCGAAGGCGGCUUACUAGACAAUAACUGACGUUGAGGCGCGAAAGCGUGGGGAGCAAACAGGAUUAGAUACCCUUGUAGUC
rnacentral:rRNA from 1 species